GCAAGUCGAGCGAGAACGGUUUUUCGGUACCUAUUAGAGCGGCGCACGGGUGAGUAACGCGUGGGAACAUACCCUGUCGUUUGGAAUAGCCUCGGGAAACUGGGAUUAAUACCUAAUACGCCCUUAGGGGGAAAGAUUUAUCGCUAUAGGAUUGGCCCGCGUGACAUUAGCUUGUUGGUGAGGUAACGGCUUACCAAGGCUACGAUGUCUAGCUGGUCUGAGAGGAUGAUC
rnacentral:rRNA from 1 species